rnacentral:rRNA from 1 species
UACGUAGGGUGCGAGCGUUGUCCGGAAUUAUUGGGCGUAAAGAGCUUGUAGGCGGUCUGUCGCGUCUGCUGUGAAAAUCCGGGGCUCAACCCCGGACUUGCAGUGGGUACGGGCAGACUAGAGUGUGGUAGGGGAGACUGGAAUUCCUGGUGUAGCGGUGAAAUGCGCAGAUAUCAGGAGGAACACCGAUGGCGAAGGCAGGGCUCUGGGCAGAUACUGACGCUGAGAAGCGAAAGCAUGGGGAGCGAACAGG